CUUGCACCCUUCGUAUUACCGCGGCUGCUGGCACGAAGUUAGCCGGUGCUUAUUCUGUUGGUAACGUCAAAACAGCAAGGUAUUAACUUACUGCCCUUCCUCCCAACUUAAAGUGCUUUACAAUCCGAAGACCUUCUUCACACACGCGGCAUGGCUGGAUCAGGCUUUCGCCCAUUGUCCAAUAUUCCCCACUGCUGCCUCCCGUAGGAGUCUGGACCGUGUCUCAGUUCCAGUGUGACUGAUCAUCCUCUCAGACCAGUUACGGAUCGUCGCCUUGGUAGGCCUUUACCCCACCAACUAGCUAAUCCGACCUAGGCUCAUCUGAUAGCGUGAGGUCUGAAGAUCCCCCACUUUCUCCCUCAGGACGUAUGCGGUAUUAGCGCCCGUUUCCGGACGUUAUCCCCCACUACCAGGCAGAUUCCUAGGCAUUACUCACCCGUCCGCCGCUGAAUCCAGGAGCAAGCUCCCUUCAUCCGCUCGACUUGCAUGUGUUAGGCCUGCCGCCAGCGUUCAAUCUGAGCCAGGAUCAAACCCUC
rnacentral:rRNA from 1 species